CUGAGACCUCAAUGAUCCGGUGAUGCUGUGAUUCUCCAGGACAAUAAACAUCCUGAGAGCUGAAAACAUCCUGGGAGAACAAACAUCUACUCAGUUCCUCAUUGCUCUUGGACUGUUACAUCUUGUUUACCCAGGAUGUACCAAACUCUCUGCAAGUCAUUUGUUACAUUUGUUUCUCCUGAUGUACUGAGUACUGAAUAAAACGUGCGGUAAGCUGGGGGCUUUCGUCUUUGCUGCCCAGAGCAGCACUGAUCAGACCCUAAGUUCAGCUUCUUCUCAGUCUCAUUUUCCUACCUUUCCUGUAAUUCGCCUUGUGCUGCCGUGGCUCACAGGAGAGCAGGACUCACUGCAGAGGUUCUGGUAACGUCCCCUUCCCCUGUUCCCUACAUUUGGCGCCCAACUUGGAUGUGAAUCAGAUCCAGGGGUGAACUCGCCUGUGAGACAAACUUGGAGUAAGAGAGACAGCACACGGAUCUCCCAGGACGAUUUCCGGACUUGGACGAGGGACACUGGUGUGAUUUCCCGGGGAGUACAGCACCGAGGUAAUCACUACCGCAGAAAGCAAAAGCAAAGGACCGAGUUGUGGUUUCAGCCACAGUCUUGGUUUCACUGGAGCUGUGUCAAGCAGCGAGAUUGUGACCAUGGCCUGCACCAAUAAAUGUUAUGAACUUAUAAAAAUAUCAUUGAUGUGUUAGCAUCAGCCAGGAUCUCAACUGGAUAAAAGAGCCAGGUAAUACCUAUGUUCCAGGAGGAACAAAUAGAAAAUAGACUAUGGUCUAUCUCUGAUAGAUUGGGCAGGUGGAGGCAGAAGGAGGGGUCCAGAAGGCCCAGGAGGCUA
rnacentral:lncRNA from 1 species